AAGAGAGGAGCUUGCUCUUCUUGGAUGAGUUGCGAACGGGUGAGUAACGCGUAGGUAACCUGCCUUGUAGCGGGGGAUAACUAUUGGAAACGAUAGCUAAUACCGCAUAACAAUGGAUGACACAUGUCAUUUAUUUGAAAGGGGCAAUUGCUCCACUACAAGAUGGACCUGCGUUGUAUUAGCUAGUAGGUGAGGUAACGGCUCACCUAGGCGACGAUACAUAGCCGACCUGAGAGGGUGAUCGGCCACACUGGGACUGAGACACGGCCCAGACUCCUACGGGAGGCAGCAGUAGGGAAUCUUCGGCAAUGGGGGCAACCCUGACCGAGCAACGCCGCGUGAGUGAAGAAGGUUUUCGGAUCGUAAAGCUCUGUUGUAAGUCAAGAACGAGUGUGAGAGUGGAAAGUUCACACUGUGACGGUAGCUUACCAGAAAGGGACGGCUAACUACGUGCCAGCAGCCGCGGUAAUACGUAGGUCCCGAGCGUUGUCCGGAUUUAUUGGGCGUAAAGCGAGCGCAGGCGGUUUGAUAAGUCUGAAGUUAAAGGCUGUGGCUCAACCAUAGUUCGCUUUGGAAACUGUCAAACUUGAGUGCAGAAGGGGAGAGUGGAAUUCCAUGUGUAGCGGUGAAAUGCGUAGAUAUAUGGAGGAACACCGGUGGCGAAAGCGGCUC
rnacentral:rRNA from 1 species